UGUUAAUGGUAGCUACGCCCCUUGGACAUAGUUUUCAUCGUCAUUUCCACAACUUCACUUAUGGCAAAUGUACAAUUAGACUACAAGUUUCUUCCUACGUCUCGUGGUGGAAGAUACCUAUGUGUAAAUGGUUAUAU